UGGUGUGAAUUGCAGAAUCCCGCGAACCAUCGAGUUUUUGAACGCAAGUUGCGCCCGAGGCCACCCGGUCGAGGGCACGCCUGCCUGGGCGUCACGCCUCGCGUCGCUCCGCUACCUCGCCCUGAGCACCCCGUGCUCUUAUGGCGGCGGACGGCGGAUGC
rnacentral:rRNA from 1 species